UAUUGCACAAUGGAGGAAACUCUGAUGCAGCGACGCCGCGUGAGUGAAGAAGGUCUUCGGAUCGUAAAACUCUGUCCUUGGUGAAGAUAAUGACGGUAACCAAGGAGGAAGCCCCGGCUAACUACGUGCCAGCAGCCGCGGUAAUACGUAGGGGGCGAGCGUUGUCCGGAUUUACUGGGCGUAAAGGGUGAGUAGGCGGUUGUAUAUGUCAGGUGUAAAAGGCUAAGGCUUAACCAUAGUUAGCACUUGAAACUGUACAACUUGAGUGCAGGAGAGGUAAGCGGAAUUCCUAGUGUAGAGGUGAAAUGCGUAGAUAUUAGGAGGAACACCAGUGGCGAAGGCGGCUUACUGGACUGUAACUGACGCUGAGUCACGAAAGCGUGGGUAGCAAACAGG
rnacentral:rRNA from 1 species